UUGUGACUAUCAGCUUUGACGGUAUGGUAUUGGUUACCGUGGCAGUGACGGUUAACGGGGGAUUAGGGUUCGAUUCCGGAGAGGGAGCCUGAGAAACGGCUACCACAUCUAAGGAAGGCAGCAGGCGCGCAAAUUACCCAAUUCUAACAGUUUGAGAGAGGUAGUAACAAGAAAUAACAAUACAAGGCAGUUAAAAUGCUUUGUAAUUGGAAUGAUAGAAAUUUAAACCCUUUUUAAAGUAUCAAUUGGAGGGCAAGUCUGGUGCCAGCAGCCGCGGUAAUUCCAGCUCCAAUAGCGUAUAUUAAAAUUGUUGCAGUUAAAAAGCUCGUAGUUGAAGUUCUGCUAAAAGUAACCGGUCUGCUUUGAAUAAAAGUGGUAUCUUGGUAUGUAUUUAGCAAUGUAUGUCCUUGAAGUGUUUUUUUCUUUUAUUUGUAAUAAAGCAUAUUCAGUACUUUUA
rnacentral:rRNA from 1 species